CGAGUAGUCUGUUUCAAUGUCACGGAACAUGCACUAUAAUCAAAAUUGUUUCUAUUACAUUAUGUAAUCCGUCGCUGAUAGUGUCGUGGUACAUUCGCCUGAGUUGUGUGCGGGCAGCGUGGGAAUCGGUUCCGACUCAGUGACGAGUCAAACACAAGGUUGACCCUGUGACCAAUGAUGCUGUUGGAGACCAUCUGUCUCCUACCCGGCUCAACUGGCCUCACGCUGUGCUGACAUAUUAUAUACUACUGAGUUUGGAUAUGU